GAUGAACGCUGGCGGCGUGCUUAACACAUGCAAGUCGAACGGAAAGGCCCAAGCUUGCUUGGGUACUCGAGUGGCGAACGGGUGAGUAACACGUGGGUGAUCUGCCCUGCACUUCGGGAUAAGCCUGGGAAACUGGGUCUAAUACCGGAUAGGACGAUGGUUUGGAUGCCAUUGUGGAAAGUUUUUUCGGUGUGGGAUGAGCUCGCGGCCUAUCAGCUUGUUGGUGGGGUAAUGGCCUACCAAGGCGUCGACGGGUAGCCGGCCUGAGAGGGUGUACGGCCACAUUGGGACUGAGAUACGGCCCAGACUCCUACGGGAGGCAGCAGUGGGGAAUAUUGCACAAUGGGCGCAAGCCUGAUGCAGCGACGCCGCGUGGGGGAUGACGGCCUUCGGGUUGUAAACUCCUUUCGCUAGGGAAGAAGCGUUUUUGUGACGGUACCUGGAGAAGAAGCACCGGCUAACUACGUG
rnacentral:rRNA from 1 species